rnacentral:misc_RNA from 1 species
GAGUUCCCGGCCAAGAGUUGCGGUGAAACGAGGUCUUCCGAUGAAGCGGGUGAUUAGCUCUUUCAGCUCCGGGAACUGUCUUGAUCGAAGCGCCGGCAGCACAGACCUUGCGGUCAGGUUCCGAUGUCUGAUCUUUCUUCCGUUUGGUUGCCGUGCCUGGCCUAGGUUUAGAUAAUGGGAUCUAAUCUUGUGAAAUCUGCGAACAAUUUCAGGAUGCUGCCCGAGAAUGACAG